rnacentral:rRNA from 1 species
AUUGAACGCUGGCGGCAGGCCCAACACAUGCAAGUCGAGCGGUAGAGAGGAGCUUGCUUCUCUUGAGAGCGGCGGACGGGUGAGUAAUGCCUAGGAAUCUGCCUGGUAGUGGGGGAUAACGUUCGGAAACGGACGCUAAUACCGCAUACGUCCUACGGGAGAAAGUGGGGGAUCUUCGGACCUCACGCUAUCAGAUGAGCCUAGGUCGGAUUAGCUAGUUGGUGAGGUAAAGGCCCACCAAGGCGACGAUCCGUAACUGGUCUGAGAGGAUGAUCAGUCACACUGGAACUGAGACACGGUCCAGACUCCUACGGGAGGCAGCAGUGGGGAAUAUUGGACAAUGGGCGCAAGCCUGAUCCAGCCAUGCCGCGUGUGUGAAGAAGGUCUUCGGAUUGUAAAGCACUUUAAGUUGGGAGGAAGGUCAGUAGCUUAAUACGUUGCUGAUUUGACGUUACCGACAGAAUAAGCACCGGCUAACUCUGUGCCAGCAGCCGCGGUAAUAC